GGCUGGUCCGAUGGCAAUGGCUAUUAUAAUAAUUGAUCACAGUCCGUUACAGAUUUCUUUGUUCUUUCUCCACUCCCACUGCUGCAUUUGACUAGUCUUUU
rnacentral:Y_RNA from 1 species